rnacentral:rRNA from 1 species
AUUGAACGCUGGCGGCAUGCCUUACACAUGCAAGUCGAACGGUAACAGGUCUUCGGAUGCUGACGAGUGGCGAACGGGUGAGUAAUACAUCGGAACGUGCCUAGUAGUGGGGGAUAACUACUCGAAAGAGUGGCUAAUACCGCAUGAGAUCUACGGAUGAAAGCAGGGGAUCGCAAGACCUUGUGCUACUAGAGCGGCCGGUGGCAGAUUAGGUAGUUGGUGGGAUAAAAGCUUACCAAGCCGACGAUCUGUAGCUGGUCUGAGAGGACGAUCAGCAACACGGAGACUGAGACACGGCCCAGACUCCUACGGGAGGAAGCAGUGGGGAAUUUUGGACAAUGGUCGAAAGCCUGAUCCAGCAAUGCCGCGUGCAGGAUGAAGGCCUUCGGGUUGUAAACUGCUUUUGUACGGAACGAAAAGCCCUGGGUUAAUACCCUGGGGUCAUGACGGUACCGUAAGAAUAAGCACCAGCUAACUACGUGCCAGCCGCCGCCGUAA